rnacentral:rRNA from 1 species
CCAGCCAUAACAAGGCAGCACAAAACAUCAACUGCCCGCCCGAUUAGUACAAGCGAAAGCUUAAAACUCAAAGGACCUGACGGUGACCCACAUCUGUCUAGAGGAGCCUGUUUCAUAAUCGAUAACCCCCGCUUAACCUCACCACUCCUAGCCAAUCAGCCUAUCUACCGCCGUCGUCAGCCCACCCUGUGAAGGCACCAAAGUGAGCACAACAGUUAAUACACUAAAACGACAGGUCAAAGCGUAGCACAUGGGGUGGAGAAAAAUGGGCUACAUUUUCUAUAAAGAACACACGGAAGGACAAAAUGAAAUAAGCGCCUGAAGGUGGAUUUAGCAGUAAGAUCGGAUAAAACACCCACCUGAACAAAGCACUGGGACGCGUACACACCGCCCGUCACCCCCACCCCCUAACCACCACACCUCCCUAAGCCAAAAGGAAAACCCAAGGUGGGGUAAGU